rnacentral:tRNA from 1 species
AGUUAAUGAGCUUGAUAAAGCAUAUAUUUUGAAAAUAUAAGAUAGAGAAAUUCUCUAUUAACUU